GCUGAGCCAUGAUCAAACUCNAACUGCUAAUACCGCAUAAUGUCUACGGACCAAAGGGGGCUUCCGCUCUCNCCUUUANAUUGNCCCAAGUGGGAUUAGCUANUUGGUGAGGUAAUGGCUCACCAAGGCCACNAUCCCUAUCUGGUUUGAGAGGAUGAUCA
rnacentral:rRNA from 1 species